GAUCAUCACAAAUCCAAUUUGAAAGCUUAAACUUCUUCUGUUUGCUUGUGCGGAGACUGACUUAGGUAUCGAAAGAUUUGCUAUCAAGAAACUUCCAUCCAACAUGAGGACUUUUCUCAUCUUUGGUGGUUUUGUAGGAUCCAAUUCGAGAAUCAGGCGUCGGCUUGCACGCAUCCUAGAGAUGUUGGUCAACCCUCUAAAGACCAUCGCUUCUCUCCUUAUUAACUCCAACUCAUAGCCUAAGCCAGAUCAUCUUCUCAACAGCAACACCACUUAAGUCCAGACCA
rnacentral:lncRNA from 1 species